rnacentral:rRNA from 1 species
AUUGAACGCUGGCGGCAUGCCUAACACAUGCAAGUCGAACGGCAACAUGUACUAGUUUACUAGUAUGAUGGCGAGUGGCGGACGGGUGAGUAACGCGUAGGAAUAUACCUUAAAGAGGGGGAUAACUUGGGGAAACUCAAGCUAAUACCGCAUAAUAUCUGAGGAUAAAAGCUGGGGACCUUAUGGCCUGGCGCUUUAAGAUUAGCCUGCGUCCGAUUAGCUAGUUGGUAGGGUAAAGGCCUACCAAGGCGACGAUCGGUAGCUGGUCUGAGAGGAUGACCAGCCACACUGGAACUGAGACACGGUCCAGACUCCUACGGGAGGCAGCAGUGGGGAAUAUUGGACAAUGGGGGGAACCCUGAUCCAGCAAUGCCGCGUGUGUGAAGAAGGCCUGAGGGUUGUAAAGCACUUUCAGUAGGGAGGAGGGUUGACAGGUUAAGAGCUAGUUAACUGGACGUUACCUACAGAAGAAGCACCGGCUAACUCCGUGCCAGCCGCCGCCGUAAAAC